AGAGUUUGAUCCUGGCUCAGGACGAACGCUGGCGGCGUGCUUAACACAUGCAAGUCGAACGGAAAGGCCCUUUCGGGGGUGCUCGAGUGGCGAACGGGUGAGUAACACGUGGGUGAUCUGCCCUGCACUUCGGGAUAAGCUUGGGAAACUGGGUCUAAUACCGGAUAGGACUACAAGGCGCAUGUUUUGUGGUGGAAAGCUUUUUGCGGUGUGGGAUGGGCCCGCGGCCUAUCAGCUUGUUGGUGGGGUGAUGGCCUACCAAGGCGACGACGGGUAGCCGGCCUGAGAGGGUGUCCGGCCACACUGGGACUGAGAUACGGCCCAGACUCCUACGGGAGGCAGCAGUGGGGAAUAUUGCACAAUGGGCGCAAGCCUGAUGCAGCGACGCCGCGUGGGGGAUGACGGCCUUCGGGUUGUAAACCUCUUUC
rnacentral:rRNA from 1 species